UUCUAUGGUGGCCAUAUCUACAACAUGUUGCAAAGUUGCUUGGCUUCUCUUCACCAGCUGCUGUCAAUAUGGCUAAGUCAGCCACCAACCACCACAAGUCUUGGGAAAUGCUCCGUAUUUUUCUAUAUGGUUCCACUGACGAACUUUUGUAUAGUGUCUUACUGUCAAAGGCACCUGGGCAUCAUUUGUACACUAUCUCUGCAUUUCAUGCUUAGCUGAAGCAACAUAAAUAUCCCAAUGUCAAAUUCCUGUCCGGCAUUUUGUUGGAACUCAUCAUUCCAUUAUUCAUAUAUCGUUCUGCUGUUAGGAGAAACAACAGCCAAGCAAUGACUCACAGCCGGGAUUCAUGUUCAAGGCUUUUUUGUGCAAUGAAUAACACCUCCUAUCAAGAACUCAUUCUAUGAGAUGAAAUGAGACUACAAGCCCCACCAGAAAUUGUUAAUUAUCUUAAUGCUUGUGAGGUAAUUUCUCCAACCGGUCAUCACAGUAAAGGUGAAGGUGGUGACUUUGUAUUAGAGAAUAACAACAGAAAAGGGAACAUGUGGAUGCCUCCAGGUGUACCCACAGGUGAUGCAUGGCUGAGGAGCUGCAUAAAUCUUCUCAAAUUGGAACAGAACUGAUGCCAUCCAAUACCGAUGGAAAAGAACUACAAGCAACAGAAAUGUGUUGAUGAAGUUCCUUAUGGAAAUUGACUCUUAUAUUGAGGAGGAGGAGGAGGGGGAUGAGGAUGAAGAUGAGGAGCAAGACCUAGAAGACUUACUGACGCCAAGGCCCGAUUUGGGCGUUACCUCCCUUGCCGGGACUGCAGGUGGCGUGGCAGAGUAGGAAGCAUGUCGGACGGAGAGAGGGGUUGACAAAGUACAGUUCAGGUCACCGCAGUUGAGCUGUGCGUCUGUACAAGAG